GAUGAAGAACGCAGUGAAAUGCGAUAAGUAAUGUGAAUUGCAGAAUUCAGUGAAUCAUCGAAUCUUUGAACACACCUUGCGCCCUUUGGCCAUUCCGAAGGGCAUGCCUGUUUGAGUAUCAUGAACACCUCAACUCUUUAUGGUUUUCCAUGAUGAGCUUGGACUUUGGGGGUUUUGCUGGCCUAUGGUCGGCUCCUCUAAAAUAAAUCAGCUUACCGGUGUUUGGUGGGUAUCAUGGGUGUGAUAACUAUCUACGCUUGUGGUUUUUCCACCAGGUAACCUUCGACAGCGGAGGUUCACUGGAGCUCAUAGAUGUCUCUCCUCAGCGAGGACAGCCCUUUGAAUGUUUGAUCUCAAAUCAGGUAGGACUACCCGCUGAACUUAAGCAUAUCAAUAAGCGGAGGA
rnacentral:misc_RNA from 1 species